AUUAAGUAGUCAUUCGGGCCGCCGGGCCGGUUCAUCUGUUUCCACGCCCCGCCGCCGACUCAAAAAUAAAACAGGUUGCUGCAACCCCAGGCUGUGCAGGUUGCUUAAGACUAUUCAGCUAAGGAAAAAGUAGGUUGUUUGUUCCCGGCUUUUUCCCGACAAACCCAAAACAAAAUAAACAUGUAGAAAGCUUUUGAAGAAUAUGUUUGGACAGGAGUUCGAUUCUCCUCGCCUCCACUU
rnacentral:tmRNA from 1 species